GAUGAACGCUGGCGGCGUGGAUAAGGCAUGCAAGUCACGGGGGCUCUUCGGAGCAACCGGCAAACGGGUUAGUAAUGCAUAGGAACGUACCGAGAAGUUUGGCAUAGCUCUCCGAAAGGGGAGGUAAUUCCAAAUAGUCUCCGGCUUCGGCCGGAGUAAAGGUAAUAGCAAUAUUACCGCUUCUUGAGCGGCCUGUGUCCUAUCAGCUUGUUGGUGAGGUAAAAGCUCACCAAGGCUAUGACGGGUAGGGGAUGUGAGAGCAUGAUCCCCAACAUUGGAACUGAGACACUGUCCAAACACCUACGGGUGGCUG
rnacentral:rRNA from 1 species